UGGCAAAGAUGAUGGUAAUUACACCCUGUGUUGAGCACUCACAAUGCCCUGGGAACUGUACUAAGUGCUUCCUGUACAUCGUUUUGAUCAUCUUCACAACUCUUUGGGACGUAUACCAUCACAACAGAUAGUGCUCUAUGCCAGAGGAGCAGCAGUCCUGAUCAAGACAAGGCCGUCAGCCUCCAGGAAGUUCCCCAACCAGGGAUCCUACAGUUGAAGCACGAUGUCUUAACAGCUGGACCACCAGGGAACUCCUCAGUAUUAUUCUCCUUUUGACUUUUUUCAAUCAUUUAAAAAAAAAAGAUUAUUGUUAGCUCGGGGCCGUACAAAACCAGGUAAGGGCCAGGAUUUGGCCCAUGGGCUGCAGUUUGCUCAUCCCUACCUUAGGCUGUCUCCUCAUAAUGUAUGAACAAAAGCUCUUUCUUUUAGUAAUAAUUAUGGUCACCACAACUUUCUCCUACCUACAUCCCCUAUUUCAUGUCCCUCCUCCACCACGUACACACUCACCUAGUCCUGCAUUUCUGCUCUUACAAUGUAAACACGAUGGACUGUGACCUCCCCCUGCUCAACAGCCGCUUCCAGGUGCCCAGAGCUGUACCCUGGCGUACAUCCCAACCUCUGGGGCCCGGCUGCCUCUGCUCCUCGGGACCCCUCUCUGCUCUCCUUGUCAGUUUCCUCCACUGCCCUUUCUCACCUGCAAUAACUCGUGUUCUGGCCCCUCCACACCGUUGACAGCUGCCCUUUCCAGGCUCUGCUCCUUGGCCCAUUGCAUUGCCUCAGCUUUGGAUUCUUAAUCUCCUUUCUCUCUGGCUAACUCCUGCUUGUUUCUAAGGCUCCGCCUGCAUUUCAGCUCCGUGUCAUCUUGAACCACAUACCUGCAGGCAGAAUUCACAGACCCCCUCUGGUUUCCCAGCGCUCCGUGCGUCCUGGCAAACCCGGAGUACCUUGAGGGUUGUGUCUUGUCCUCUUUCAAGCACCCGCUGCAGUGUGGAGCACAUGGUGGAUGCUCUGUGGACAUUUUAAUGAAUUCUCAAAUGUCAAGACCCCUCUUUAUAUACUUUCUAAAACUGUAGGUAUCGUAUGUACACUCUUUUAUUGGUUUCCUUUUCCUGGUUUCAUGUGUUAUUGCUACUAUUAAAUUUUAAGUUUAUAAGUGCAGACAUAGUCUAUUUUGUAGUAGACUUCCUUCCAAAUACAUAAAAUAACAUUCUGUGGCUCGUGGGUUCUCCUCUGGGGCCUCCAGGUGACCAUGGUGGGCUUUCAUUAGAGUAUCUCUAACCAACUUGCCUAAUACGGGCCACAGAAUGUUACCGAGGCCCUGAUAGGUCUCUUUUUUUUGACAGGUGAGGAAAGUACAGCUUUAUAAAGAUAAAGCAGCUGACCUGAGGACGCUGGUCAAUGACAAAAACAGAAGAAGGGCCGGAAACAAGGCCUUGGUAUUACCAGAAUUUGAGUUUUUGAUCCAGUUUGCAAGGUUAAAGUAUUGAGCUCUGAAU